GUCCUUGUAAUGCACUCGGAGAUUUUUAAAGGUCAACAACAUGCGCGCUAGCUAACACGCGUCAGGUGACUUUCAGAAAGAAAUAACACAUGUCAUGUGGUUUAGAAGAAACCAGACUCAAGCAUCGUCGCAGCUUAUCUCCUCAGUUUUGCUGGCUGUCCCCAAGUUAUGUCCAUAUCCCAACCCCAUGACCUCCCGGGACACGCCGCCGCUACCGCCUGCCGCCCCACGACCGCCGCUGCCGCCUGCCGCCCACCGCGGUCGGGAACCGGCCCCCCAGCUUGACGAACGCGCUGGGAUCCUUCCUUCCGCGCGUCCCCCGCACGCAGCCGAAUCCCCCACUCCACCGGCCAUGGCGCAGGCACACACCCGCUCGCCAUGGUGGGCUCUUCUCCAGAGGAGCUGGCUCCGGCCCGCUAGAGGCCGCCAUUGAGGCUGCAGCAGUCUCAGUUUUCUUCAGAUCCUCCUAGAUGUGGGCACACAAAUGCUUCAGAUCGGCUCUCUCUGUCCUCCCGCUCAGGGGGCUGCAGUAGCUUGUCCAGUGUGGCGCGGAGGCCGGCGGCGACGACCUCGUGGCUCUUGGCGACGCCAAGCCACGCCCGGUCCUCUGUCAUCAUCUGUCGGAGCCUCUCCUCCAGUUCGCCGUUGCGGUAGCGCGCGCACUCCAGUUCAACCACUACGGCCUGAAGCCGCCCCGCCGCAGCGUGCUCCACACCAGCCAACACCGCCCUCGCGUGUCGCCGGCUCGCCGCAACGCCUUGGUCCGCCGCGCCCUCCAACGCCCGUCGCUACGCCUCGGUCCGCGCGCUACAACGCCCGCCGCGACGCCUCGCCCCAUUCCUGGGCUCGGGCGGCGCGGACGCGCGCCGCGACGCAUCCCCCUGCCUUGGCUUAUUCGGCGUCGACGCCGGCGGCAAGCGGCGGGGCGUACUUGGCGGUUCAGUGGAGGCAGGCAAUGGAUAAGUGGUGGAGGUGGCCAGUGGUGGCAGGUUUUUUUUGCAAAAAACGAAACGUUAUCCAGAUUUAAGUAGGACCGCGGGUUAAUUUCUAAGAAACAGGGGGACUUGUUUGCAAAACAACCAAUGACGGACGACCAGAAGCGAUCGCUGGUUUAUUAGUAGGGAAAGAUAUAUAUAACACUUUCACAAAAAGAACCCCCCUUUAGGAGUAGACAUAAAAACAGAUAAAGUGGAAAAAAAUCUAAAAAGCAAGAAAAGUUCCUAAAUCGGAUUUCAGGAUACACUUAUUUGGGCUGGCCCAUUUAGCCUUAUUGGGUCCUCUAUUCAUCGAAUCCGGACCUAUUAGGGUUUCACGUUGCGCUUUUAUAUUCGACCAAUCCUCCGUCUCAAACCCACCCCCUUCGUCGCCGCCGCCUGUUUCAUCUUCGAUUUGAGGUUCGUAGAUGCGACUUUCUUCCGAGUACUUUUUCGCCUACUCCCUCCAUCCAGAUUCUGACGUUAGAUUUGUCAAUUGAAGUUGCGCAAUAGGAGUAGGAUUGUGGAUGAAUUAGUUAUUACUUAUUUUACAACGGAUUAUUCUGAUCUCGGGAUCUGUAUUCCUGUUGACCCCAUCUAUAUUCCUGUUGGUGGCAGGCUCUUUGCUCUUGCUGCUGGCUCAUUCCAGCUGCUCUAUCCGCCGCCAGAAGAUGAGUCUGACUGGGAUGACUUUGUGUGUACGUGGCACACCCUCCCGGAGCCGCCUUUUUUGCACGAACUUGUAACUUGCUGUGCUGUGCAUAGCGAUCAACACACCAUCUUUGUCAGCACAGGAGAGCAUGACCCUGCCACCUUCAGCUUUGACACGGAGAUGGAAGGUGAUGGUGAGUGGAAGCGUCAUGGCCGCUGGAGGAUGCCGUUCAUUGGCCGUGCUUACUUUGUCCCUGAGUUGGAUCUCUGGGUUGGGCUUGGCAAACACAGACGGAUCUUCGCAAUUGAUGUGGUAUCUGAAGAACCUGAUGCUGUGCAUGUUGAGCGUUAUGUGGACCUUCCCUUUAAGGUGUGCGUGGACAAACCGAGCUGCUGCCAUUUUACAGAUCAGGAGCCCAUCGGAGCCACCCUCCUUAGCAUGGGUGGUGGGAGCACUUUUUGCCUCCUUGAGUACUUCGGUGUGAAUGAGAUGGAGCGUAUCAUGCGAUUGAUGACAUUUUCUCUCAAAUAUGACAAGUAUGGAGACCUGACGAUGGGCAAAAGCAUCCAGACUCGGUACAACAGGGUGCCAUCUGAAGUUAGUUUGUCGACGCUUAAGACUCCGGUGGCUUUCUGGAUGUAAAAACCGUGGUAAUGUUUGGUUGAUGUAACCCCAGGUUGUAGUUGUGAGGAGUUAGUGAUCUUGUUGUUUUGGUGUGUACUACCAUCUCAAUUAGUAGUUAUGUAACUUAGACUGAGAUAUUGCUGUUAUUUUCUAGUACGUCUUUUGUUGUUUGGGUAUAAUUUCCGUGUGUACUUUUAUUUUUUGAAAUGGAUUUCUGUGUGUACUUUGGUA